rnacentral:rRNA from 1 species
GAUGAACGCUGGCGGCGUGCCUAAUACAUGCAAGUCGAGCGAACAGACGAGGAGUUUGCUCCUCUGACGUUAGCGGCGGACGGGUGAGUAACACGUGGAUAACCUACCUAUAAGACUGGGAUAACUUCGGGAAACCGGAGCUAAUACCGGAUAAUAUAUUGAACCACAUGGUUCAAUAGUGAAAGACGGUUUUGCUGUCACUUAUAGAUGGAUCCGCGCCGCAUUAGCUAGUUGGUAAGGUAACGGCUUACCAAGGCAACGAUGCGUAGCCGACCUGAGAGGGUGAUCGGCCACACUGGAACUGAGACACGGUCCAGACUCCUACGGGAGGCAGCAGUAGGGAAUCUUCCGCAAUGGGCGAAAGCCUGACGGAGCAACGCCGCGUGAGUGAUGAAGGUCUUCGGAUCGUAAAACUCUGUUAUUAGGGAAGAACAAAUGUGUAAGUAACUAUGCACGUCUUGACGGUACCUAAUCAGAAAGCCACGGCUAACUACGUG